rnacentral:misc_RNA from 1 species
AAGUCGUAACAAGGUUUCCGUAGGUGAACCUGCGGAAGGAUCAUUAACACGUUUAUCCAACGUUAUCAACCAACGAGAACCGUUUUCAAUCGCUCCCGGAGGCAAGGAAUGAGUGGCAGUCUGACUGAGGUGUUGAAAUGGGCGAGCUUCGGCCGCAGCCUCUAUCCUACUACUUAGGCAAAAUCGAAAGAUUUUUUGCUUAGACACUGUAUCUUUGCCAAAGGUUAUAAAUUCUGCGCAGGGUGUCCCCUUUCAUUGACUUCUGUCGCAGGCCUCAAUUUUUAACAUAUUUCACCAAACCAAUUUUGCUAGUUGACUUUAAUCUGUUGUUAUUUUUUUAUAUUAAUUAAUUUUAAUUAAUAUAUACAAAUUGCAACACGUUUAAUCUAAUUGAACGUUAAAAUCAUACAACUCUUAGCAAUGGAUAUCUUGGUUCUC